rnacentral:lncRNA from 10 species
CAUUUAUUAAUAUGGAGUGUUAUUUACUCAAACUAGGGCUCUCAUAGGCGUUGAGUGGAUAGAUAGUUUUGUGUGUGCUAGAUACAUCAGUUUACUUGAAAAGAUUGGAAAUAAAUAACAGGAAAUUGGUUGGUGCUUAGAUAAUUAUUGGAAAGCAAAAAAUAAAACUAAGCUAGGAAAAUAAUAAGAAUCCUUUAUUCUCUGCUUCCACUCAGGGUGAAUCAGGACCAGUGCAAUAAAUCACCCUCAAUACUUCCUGUGAAUGGCAACUGCUGAAGGGAAGCUUCUGCCUCUCAUCAUACACUGCCUCAGGGGGGAACAAAAUAGAUCAUUACAAUGGAGGCCAAAGAGUGCUUGAAUGUCUCUGCCGAAGGCUUUCAAUAAAUAUUUGUUGAAAAAGAAAGGAAGAAAGAAAAUGAAGAAGGAACGAAGGAGGAAAGGAAAGAAGGAAAGAAGGAAGGAAGGAGUUAAUGAAGACUCAAGGUGAUUCUUAACUUUCUAAUACAGAAUUCUCUUUUCGUUUCCUCCUUCAAUCCAGAUAAAUGACAUGCCGUGAUGGAAAAUCUGAAAUAUGUUUUGUGAUGCCUUUUUGCUGCUACUACCAACAGUAAACUCAAACUCUUGAAACUGGUUUUUUUUCCUCUUUUUCUGCCAUGCCCCAUAGUAAUCUUCCUUGCUUGCAUGUUCCACUACAACUCAGUGAUGCUUCAGAUAUGCAACUAAACUACUGCACAAUAAAUAUAAAGCUAGGACAAGUCACUUAAUUCAGGUUUAAAUAUACAAAUUUUCCUUGCAGUAACUUAAAAUUGAUACUUCUCAUCCACUGAUUUCCUGUCAGGAUCUUGCCUACUAAGGGCCAUGAUUAUUGUGGCUGGCAUAUCUCAUUUUUUCCCUUUAGUUAGGCAAAUUACUUUAGUGACACUCUUGGUAGAGACUCUUUUGUUUGGUGUCUGGAAGACGGUCUUUUUUUUUUUUUCUUUUUCCUUUCCCAGUGUUUUCUUUAUAAUUUUUGUAGUCUACUGUAAUGGGUAAGCUUGGACUAUAAACUCAGUUUUGAGUUCUGAGACUGACUUAUACUCUUAAAACUUAGAUGAUUUAUUUUAUUUCGGAGACUUUAAUUUCAUCAUCAGAAAAAUGAGAGCACUGCCAGAGAAGACCUCUAGGAUCUCUGCUAUUGAAUGAUUGUGUGAUUCUCUGCAGAAAGGGAGAGUUUGAAGGUGGGUUGGCAGAGACUGUGACCGCAACUGACUGCGUUCUGCAGAAUUAUGGUAAUGAAAUUGGAAGCCAACUUUCGUGAAGCAGAAAGCCUCAAGUUUCCAGGUGCUGUGCUCAGUCCAGGAAUACAAUGAUGAAUACGAUCAAGGCCCUUUCAGAGCUGACACACACUAUACAUAAUGCAUCAAAAAUUGCGUUCUCGCUAUAUUUCUGUUUAUUUGGUUUUAUCUGCAAGAAUAUAGAUAGCAUCUGCUUUGAUAUAAAACUUUUAUGUGUCUUAUGUAGUUGAUUUGUAAAUGUCCUAUCUAUAAAUAUAAAACAAUAAAUUACUAGUUACAGUUAACUUAGGAAAACUUUUAAUCAUGUCCUACAUUUUACACCUUGUAAUUUCUACCAAAUGUUUGUAUUUUUAUGUCUUAUUAAAUAUAAUAAAUAUUUGUCUUAACAUAUUUUAAUAGAAUUCCUCAUAUGUUUUGCAGAAAGCUAAUUAUGGUUUUC